rnacentral:rRNA from 1 species
AAUGAACGCUGGCGGCAUGCCUAACACAUGCAAGUCGAACGAAGGCUUCGGCCUUAGUGGCGCACGGGUGCGUAACGCGUGGGAAUCUGCCCCUCGGUUCGGAAUAACAGCGAGAAAUUGCUGCUAAUACCGGAUAAUGACGUAAGUCCAAAGAUUUAUCGCCGAGGGAUGAGCCCGCGUAGGAUUAGCUAGUUGGUGUGGUAAAGGCGCACCAAGGCGACGAUCCUUAGCUGGUCUGAGAGGAUGAUCAGCCACACUGGGACUGAGACACGGCCCAGACUCCUACGGGAGGCAGCAGUGGGGAAUAUUGGACAAUGGGCGAAAGCCUGAUCCAGCAAUGCCGCGUGAGUGAUGAAGGCCUUAGGGUUGUAAAGCUCUUUUUACCCGGGAUGAUAAUGACCAGUACCGGGGAGAAUAAGCUCCGGCUAACUCCGUG